CUGUAAAGCGCUUUGGGCCUUCGAAAGAAGGUAAAAAGUGCUAUAUAAGUAUACGCCAUUUACCAUUUAAUCACAAUGAGCAUAAAGAGCAAUUUGCUAUUUUUUCUUUUACUUGUGUUAGCUUACAAAAAUAGUUUAACAUCUGUCAUGCAAACUUACCUGACACUACUACUGAAAUAAAAUGUGUUCAUAUGCUGGAUUGGUUUAGUCUAGUUUUUAUAGAAAAUUUUAAUAUGUAAAUAAAAUGACUUUUUUAUUGGAGUAGAAACCUGCCUUAUUACAAAAACCCAUUUUGACUGUUGAAAAGUAAAAAAAAAAAUAGAAUUAAAGUUUUAAUUUUUCUCAAAGGGCAAGCAGGGUGGUUUAAGGAGUUCAAAGUGGUAAGCAGGCGUUGCUGAUUGGACGGUUGCUGCGUUUUGAAUCUCCCGCUCAUUUCCUGAUACGGAUUCAGUCAGUCGUCCUGGUCCGUCAACGCAAGGAGAUUCUGCACUUCUGUCGCACCAUUCAUCCAGGCCAUUUAUUGAUAUCAAGACACGCUGCCGAGGCCGACUCCAUCUGCCGAGAUUGACGUCACACACACAGAGCGAAAGCCGGUGACUCAGAGGAUGAGUCCUGUUAUUUCCAGUUUGGAAAAAAACGCAGGAUAAUAACCAAUAUUUAAUCAAAAAAAUCCUUUUGUGUGUGUGCCAAAGGUCACCUGCAGCUUCACUCAAGUUGUCGUGACAGACUCGCCGAUAUAGAUUUCAUGUCAGCAGUUGUUGCUGUGGUUGGAGUAAUUGGGGACUCUUGGACGAUGCAACCAGAAGAAUGAUGGGCUUCCUCAUGUCCAAUGAGUUGGCUCUGCAAUAUAACCUGUUUGGACGUCAUGGAGAGAAUAAAUUCUGCUAACUGCGUCUUUUUGAUGUCUUCUAUGGGGCAGUGAAGAAAAAAUGACAUCACCCAACCAGUCCCACUAAAGGAAGUGGAGAAGGGCCUCUCCAAAUGGUUUGUUGGAGCUCGUGACAGGGGAGGAAACCGAGCUAUAAGGACUCAAAGAGAGCUUGAAUAUCAAGCCGAUGGAGCUUGUUCUCAGGAACCGUCAAGGAUGCUAUGAGUAUUUUGUUUUACUGGAUUUAUUUAUUUUUUCGUCACAUAAUUGGCACACAUUAAGGUUGUUCAUAUUGUACUGUACCAAGUGAAGUAGUUCUUUAUUUUAUUAAGUAACUGUUGUAUGUUAGAUCCUGUGUGUUAUCUGUUAAACCUUUGGGUGACCUUGCCAUGGUCUUGUAUCUCGUUUUCACAAUGCAGGAUCAGGAUAAUUUAUUUUCUUUUAUUAAAUUGAAACAUUUUAAAAGCA